UACGAAGGGGGGCUAGCGUUGCUCGGAAUCACUGGGCGUAAAGGGUGCGUAGGCGGGUCUUUUAAGUCAGGGGUGAAAUCCUGGAGCUCAACUCCAGAACUGCCUUUGAUACUGAGGAUCUUGAGUUCGGGGAGAGGUGAGUGGAACUGCGAGUGUAGAGGUGAAAUUCGUAGAUAUUCGCAAGAACACCAGUGGCGAAGGCGGCUCACUGGCCCGAUACUGACGCUGAGGCACGAAAGCGUGGGGAGCAAACAGGG
rnacentral:rRNA from 1 species